UGGGUUCCCGUGGACUUCAGUGUCCAGCAAGGCAAUGAAAAUAGCAGAUAUGGUUUCAUGCUUGCAUAGGCUUUUCAGUGAGUAAAGCUCAUACUGUGUGUUGCGCAGCAUUGGGCUGGGCCCUCACAUAUGAGUCCUCCUGGUUGAAUGGAGAGGAAGGAUACAACUGCACCCAUUUUGCAGAAAACGUCUCUGAAGUGAAUUGCACUGAGGUCAGCUGCACCCUAACAGCAUGUUGGAAUGGCAAUGGAGAUACUGCUAUUGUCAUGUGACUGCCCGGAGUCCUGCCUGUGCCUGUCGGGGCUAAUGGAGAGGCCUCUGUUGGCCUGAUAAGGCAUAAAAGAGACUUUGGCAUAACAUCAAACAUCAUAUCCAGCAUUGCCCUGACGUCAGCAGCCACCACCACAGCAGCAGUGACCCUAGGAUACCCUACUGCUACCGCUGAGACCAUGAACAAGCUUGUGGAACUGACUGCCUGAGCUAUAGAACAACAGAACUGUACAGAUGAACAUAUGCAGGGAUCUCUCUGCAGCUGUCGCUGCACCUGUGGCUGCGGAACACCCAGAAGGAGCAGCCAGCUGGGAGCCCACCUCCCUGUGCCACAGAGCCUUUCCGUGAACCUCUGCUGCCCUCUGUCUAUGAAAGAGGAAGACAGAAGUAGAAAGAAAACCAGAAAAUGGUGGACAGCACACCAGGGCAGCCCACACAGUGGAGGGAAGCAGAUUACCAGACCCAGGUCAUGUGGUCCUAACAGUCACCGCUAUCUUCUUCUGCUGUCCAUUUACCCUCAGCAAGCGCCUCAGCGAAUCGCGGUGCUUUGCCUGACAGGGUGACCUAGACCCUCCUGGAAGGAUCUUGGCCAUUUGUGAGUAGCCGGGAUUGGAUUGUUACAACUUUCCAUUGACCAUGAUCACAGGACUUGGGACUACUUAGGGAUGUGUCAAGGGAAUCUCUCGUAUUUCAGGAUACGCUUCCUUAUCUCUGAUAUAGAGUAGUAAUUUGCUUG